rnacentral:lncRNA from 10 species
UGUCUUCACAAUGGUGGAGCAGGAGAGAGAGAGAGAGAAAGGGCCAUGUGCACAGGGGGCAUUGAGAAAUAUCUCUGGACCAAUCACCUAAAAGAUGUGACUCUCCUCACUUGCCUGGACUCUGCUCAGAAUAGAGAUUUCGACACAUCAGUGGGUUCAACACCUAGGUGAUGCGGCUCUUCCUUCUUUUCUGGGCUCUUCCAUCAGAGAAGAUUGUGACAUUUUCUGAGCCCAGCACUCAAGUGAGGUGACUUGUCUCCCUGGACUCUCCCCACAGACAGCAUUGUGAAAUAUCUUUGGGAUCAUCACCUAGGCAUGGAAUCCCAGGGAAUAUCCUGCAUUCUCAGUGUCCAGCUGUCUGAUGCCACAGUUGUUUAUGAUGAUCGAGGACAACUACGUUUUUCUGAGGAGACUUACCACCUCAUGGCUGAGGCAUUCACAAAAAAUAGCUCACGUUAUGUUUUGCUUAUUUGCAAGUCAACAAGAUGAGGUCCCUGAGGAUGUCUAACUGAUUCUGUCCACUCGGGAAUGUUUCGGACUUGGUCUUCCUUUUAAUUUACUUUAUAAAUCAUUUUGUAAUUUUUAUCUCCUACUCAUUCUGUAACAGGUAACACAACUGACCAGAAGAAAAACAGCCUAGAUCCUGAGCAUUCAGCCUGUGUCUUCACACAACAAACACCACCUGAGUCCCAUCAAAGCCUGUGUUGUUUCCCAACAUCCACCAUUGAGACAUAUUCCAGAGCAGCCUCUCAAAAUCACCUAAACAAGAUGGAACAAGAAGGUGGAGCCAGACGUACAGGGCGGAACAUGAAAGUGGACCAGGAGCGUGACCGCUGAAGCACAGCACCACAGGAAGAGGUUUAGGCCUCUGGAUGACUGCGGGCGGGCCUGACUCAUGUCAGGCCUUCCACAAGAAGUGGUGGAGCAGAGUCUUCCCCAACUCUCCCAGGGAAAGGGAGACUCCCUUUGCCGGUCUGCUAAGUAACCGGUGCCUUCCCAGGCACUGGCGUUACCGCUAGACCAAGGAGCCCUCUAGUGGCCAUGUCUGGGCAUAACUGAGGGCUCACACUCUUCUGGUCACUUAUCACCCUUCAGCUCCUAUCUCUGUAUGGCCUGGUCUUUCCUAGGUUAUAAUUGUAGAACGGACAUUAUUAUAAUAUUGGAAUAAAGAGUAAUGCUACAAACUAAUAAUAAUAAUAUUCAUAUAUAAUCAUAUCUAUAUUCUAUUUCUAGUAUGACUAUUCUUAUUCUCUAUAUUUUCUUUAUUAUACUGGAACAACUUGUGCUUUCUAUCUCUUGGCUCAGCACCUGGGUGGCUUGCUGCCCACAAGAAUAGCCCAUCCUAAUUUUUUGUUUUACAUCUACUAUAAAUCAAAUAGAUUUUGUUCCAUAUUUUAUAGUGGAAUUUAAGAUGAAACCCACAUUGUUAAAUAUGUGAGAUUGAUUAUAAGCUCAUCAAGGAGGUUUUUACUCAGUGAGGGAAUUCAGAGAACAUAAAGUUGCAAAGGCAGAAGCAAAUGUUUUGAAUGAAUUUUGAGAGACAAUACUAACAGAAGUGCUUCCCACUUUUAUGACUCAUAUGACUCAUAUGAUCUUUCUGUAGGAAAAACUGCCUCUAAUUGUAGACACUGGUUCAUAGCAGAUGCUAAAUGAACCAG